rnacentral:rRNA from 1 species
AGGACGAACGCUGGCGGCGUGCUUAACACAUGCAAGUCGAGCGGUAAGGCCUUUCGGGGUACACGAGCGGCGAACGGGUGAGUAACACGUGGGUGAUCUGCCCUGCACUUCGGGAUAAGCCUGGGAAACUGGGUCUAAUACCGGAUAUGACCUCCUAUCGCAUGGUGGGUGGUGGAAAGAUUUAUCGGUGCAGGAUGGGCCCGCGGCCUAUCAGUCUUGUUGGGUGGGUAAUGGCCUACCAAGGCGACGACGGGUAGCCGACCUGAGAGGGUGACCGGCCACACUGGGACUGAGACACGGCCCAGACUCCUAACGGGAGGCAGCGAGUGGGGAAUAUGCACAAGUGGGACGAAAGCCUGAAUGCAGCGACCGCCGCGUCGGAGGAUCGACGGUCCUUCCGGGGUUAGUAACCUUCGUUUAC